GCGCCUGCGGUUCACUGCUCGUGCGUCUGGUUUUCCUGCAUUGUCUUCAGGGAAAAUAUAAGACAUAACCACUCUGGCGAUGUGAAGCGCUUGAAUUGCUGAAGAACUCAAUGAAACCAUAACAUUACCAACACCAAUGUGACAGAGCUAACUGUAGCUUUUGGGAUCAAGAGAACCAAAGAAAAGAGGAUGUGAAAAAUUAAGAAAUAAUUAAACAUUGACAGGUGUCAGUUGUUUUACAAGUAAGAUGAUGAAACAAAAUGAGUCCAAGUCUGUCUGUGUGUAUAACUCUGACAAUAAUAUUUCCAGAUUUAAAAGCGCCCAGUUUUGGCUAAAAAGUAAUUGAAUGCAGGACAAAAAUAUAUCUUCUGUUUUUAAUCAAAGAGUUUAAGAAGAUUGACACACACAUUAACACAUCCUAAAUAAAUAAGGGGGCAGAUGCAUAGUUUUUGUACUUGUAACAUAAUAAAAAGUAGUGAUCAGACAUUAUUAAAAACGGUGUUAAAGCUCAGGAUAUUUA